AAAAGCUGAGUGAAAAAAAAAAAAUUCUCUCUUUCUCCCUGACUAUCUCUGAUCUGGGAUACUGGUCUUUCCCAGCUUUGGACAUAGACUGAAACUGGAACUACCGGUUCUUCAGCAUUUCCAGCUUAACAACUGCAGUUCUUAGGACUUCUCAGCUUCCAUAAUUAUCUUCAACUCAUCCAUUCUUCAUUCAUCCAAUGGAUGAGACACAAUUGCUGAGAGCACUCUCUUGACAAAAUUUACAUGUUACAUUUGAAGAAAUAAGAAGAGAAAGGCUCAUUAAUGGCUCCAUGGCUUUCCCACAGAUAAAAUGAGAAGAAACUGUGUAGACUUCUCUCAACUCCUCAAGUACUCUGCUUUUCAGCUGACACAAACCUGAUCAGAAUACCCAUGAAAGACUGUUCUUGAGAUAUGUUUUCUAUAAAAAGGACUGAAAUGUUACACUUACAAGAAGAUGACCACAAAUCUGCAAACUUAGUAGAAGCCAGAUGGCCAAGUCGCCACAAUGAAGAAGCCAUUGGCCUGUCUCAGCAGGCUAUAGCCACCCAGCAGCUACUUAUCACAUGCCUUGGAGGGUGUUGUUCACACAUUUAAAAUGGACACAACAGAGGGGUUUGUAAACAUCCUGCUCAUGCCACAUAAAGAUAGUAUAGGAGUUGAGACAUUUAUUCUCUGUCCCUUUCUCUCUUGCUUUUUUAAGUAGGGUCAGUUAUACAUUCUGAACUAUAAGUAGAGAAUUUAACCUAAUUUAUAUUUUAAAUAGCUGCUAUUAUAAUACCUUUACUGAUGUUUAAUUUAGAAUAAAAGAGAUGUCUAGCAUUUGUUGACCAUUUU